AUUCAAAAAUAUAAAUGCAGAAUCUCAUAUAUGGAAAUAUAUUGAUAAAUGUAUUGCAUGAUAUUCUCUAAUAUACUGCAAUAUAUUUUUGUUUCAUAAGGGUUGGCUCAGUCCU